UGGGGAAUUUUGCACAAUGGGGGAAACCCUGAUGCAGCGACGCCGCGUGAUUUAGAAGGCCUUCGGGUUGUAAAAAUCUUUUCUAUGGGAAGAAAAUGACAGUACCAUAGGAAUAAGGACCGGCGAAUUACGUGCCAGCAGCCGCGGUAAUACGUAAGGUCCGAGCGUUGUCCGGAAUCAUUGGGCGUAAAGGGUACGUAGGCGGGUAAGCAAGUUAGAAGUGAAAUCCUAUAGCUCAACUAUAGUAAGCUUUUAAAACUGCUCAUCUUGAGGUAUGGAAGGGAAAGUGGAAUUCCUAGUGUAGCGGUGAAAUGCGCAGAUAUUAGGAGGAAUACCGGUGGCGAAGGCGACUUUCUGGCCAUAACCUGACGCUGAGGUACGAAAGCGUGGGUAGCAAACAGG
rnacentral:rRNA from 1 species